AUCUUCUCAAUUAGUUUCUGCUGAUUUUUGCUCUCCUCUAUAGUUGGGGUUUCUUCAACUUUCAAGCUUCAUAUACUUAUCUAGUCACUCGGGGAUCGAAGGAAACGUCGGAGGCCGAUCACACUAUCAAAGAAAUAACUCGGUAUAACUAGACGUUUUGUUUUGGGUAUGGCAUGUAUAGAAACUUAGCUACUUUUGGUAUAAUAUGAACAAUGAAUGAUGUGUAAA